CCCUUAGAGUUUGAUCCUGGCUCAGGACGAACGCUGGCGGCGUGGAUUAGGCAUGCAAGUCGAGCGACGGACAGUCUUCGGACCGUUACGGAGCGGCGAACGGGUGAGUAACACGUGAACAACCUGCCCUCACAUUCUGGAUAAUUCACCGAAAGGUGUUGUAAUACAGGCGAGGAUUCUUGAGAGGCAUUUCUUGAGAAGGGAAGGCGCAAGCCGUGCGAGGAGGGGUUCGCGGAUUAUCAGGUAGUUGGUGGGGUGAUGGCCUACCAAGCCUACGACGAUUAGCUGGUCUGAGAGGAUGGUCAGCCACAUUGGAACUGAGACACUGUCCAGACUCCUACGGGAGGCUGCAGUCGAGAAUCUUGCACAAUGUACGAAAGUAUGAUGCAGCGACGCCGCGUGAAGGAUGAAGGCCCUCUGGGUCGUAAACUUCUUUUAUGUGGGAAGAAUAAAUGACGGUACCACAUGAAUAAGCCACGGCUAACUACGUGCCAGCAGCCGCGGUAAUACGUAGGUGGCAAGCGUUGUCCGGAUUUACUGGGCGUAAAGCGUAUGUAGGCGGAUGUUUAAGUAGGAAGUGAAAGGUUGGAGCUCAACUCCGACACUGCUCCCUAUACUGGGCAUCUUGAGGGCCGGAGAGGAAAGCGGAACGACACGUGUAGCGGUGAAAUGCGUUGAUAUGUGUCGGAACACCAAUGGCGAAAGCAGCUUUCUGGACGGUAGUUUUACUUUAAAUCUGACGCUGAGAUACGAAAGCGUGGGUAGCGAACAGAUAGAUACCCUGGUAGUCCACGCCCUA
rnacentral:rRNA from 1 species